AUUGAACGCUGGCGGCAUGCCUUACACAUGCAAGUCGAACGGCAGCACGGGUGCUUGCACCUGGUGGCGAGUGGCGAACGGGUGAGUAAUAUAUCGGAACGUACCUUAUUGUGGGGGAUAACGCAGCGAAAGCUGUGCUAAUACCGCAUAAUCCCUAAGGGGGAAAGCGGGGGACCGUAAGGCCUCGCGCAAUUAGAGCGGCCGAUACCUGAUUAGCUAGUUGGUGAGGUAAAGGCUCACCAAGGCAACGAUCAGUAGCUGGUCUGAGAGGACGAUCAGCCACAGUGGGACUGGGACACGGCACAGACUCCUACGGGAGGCAGCAGGGGGGAAUUUUGGACAAUGGGGGCAACCCUGAUCCAGCAAUGCCGCGUGAGUGAAGAAGGCCUUCGGGUUGUAAAGCUCUUUUGUCAGGGAAGAAACAGCAGCUCUAACACAGUAUGCGAAUGACGGUACCUGAAGAAUAAGCACCGGCUAACUACGUGCCAGCCGCCGCAGUAA
rnacentral:rRNA from 1 species